rnacentral:other from 2 species
AUUCCCCUGCCGUGUUCGUGAUUGGAAGAAGCGCUUUGAUCCAACAGAUAACACGAAGGGAGCCUUACUUGGCUUUGGUGAGCAUGUUCUGUUGAUACAGAAAAGCCUAAAGAAGCCACAAGGUGCCCACUUUGAACUAUAGGUUCAAAGGCCUGCCAACACGGCACAAUGGUGGGGGAUAA